rnacentral:rRNA from 1 species
AGAGGGUGCGAACGUUGUUCGGAAUUACUGGGCGUAAAGCGCGUGUAGGCGGCAGCGCAAGUCGGGCGUGAAAUCCCACGGCUCAACCGUGGAAGUGCACUCGAAACUGCGCAGCUAGAGUCCUGGAGAGGAAGGUGGAAUGCUUGGUGUAGAGGUGAAAUUCGUAGAUAUCAAGCGGAACACCGGUGGCGAAGGCGGCCUUCUGGACAGUGACUGACGCUGAGACGCGAAAGCGUGGGGAGCAAACAGGAUUAGAUACCCUGGUAGUCCACGCCGUAAACGAUGAGUGCUAGGUGUCACGGGCUUUGACCCUCGUGGUGCCGAAGCUAACGCGUUAAGCACUCCGCCUGGGGAGUACGGCCGCAAGGCUAAA